ACUGGAUUUGCUGAAACCGGAUGG
rnacentral:miRNA from 1 species